AGUUUGAUCCUGGCUCAGGACGAACGCUGGCGGUGUGCUUCACACAUGCAAGUCGAACGAGGUAGCAAUACCUAGUGGCGGACGGGUGAGUAACGCGUGGGAAUCUGCCUUUAGAUGGGGGAUAACGGGUCGAAAGACUCGCUAAUACCGCAUAUGACGAAAGUUGAAAGGAGUAAUCCGUCUAAAGAUGAGCCCGCGUCCGAUUAGCUAGUUGGUAGAGUAAAAGCCUACCAAGGCGACGAUCGGUAGCUGGUCUGAGAGGAUGAUCAGCCACAAUGGGACUGAGACACGGCCCAUACUCCUACGGGAGGCAGCAGUGGGAAUUUUACGCAAUGGGCGAAAGCCUGACGUAGCGACACCGCGUGAGCGAAGAAGCCCCUUGGGGUGUAAAGCUCUGUCAGCUGGAACGAAAAAAUGACGGUACCAGCAGAGGAAGCAUCGGCUAACUACGUG
rnacentral:rRNA from 1 species